UACGUAGGGGGCUAGCGUUGUCCGGAAUCAUUGGGCGUAAAGAGCGUGUAGGCGGCCAUGUAGGUCCGUUGUGAAAACUCGAGGCUCAACCUCGAGACGCCGAUGGAAACCAUGUGGCUAGAGUCCGGAAGAGGAGAGUGGAAUUCCUGGUGUAGCGGUGAAAUGCGUAGAGAUCAGGAAGAACACCGGUGGCGAAAGCGCUCUGCUGGACCUUAACUGACACUGAGGGACGAAAGCUAGGGGAGCGAAUGGG
rnacentral:rRNA from 1 species